rnacentral:rRNA from 1 species
CCUACGGGAGGCAGCAGUGAGGAAUAUUGGUCAAUGGACGCGAGUCUGAACCAGCCAAGUAGCGUGAAGGAUGACUGCCCUAUGGGUUGUAAACUUCUUUUAUAUGGGAAUAAAAUGUUCCACGUGUGGGAUUUUGUAUGUACCAUAUGAAUAAGGAUCGGCUAAAUCCGUGCCAGCAGCCGCGGUAAUACGGAGGAUCCGAGCGUUAUCCGGAUUUAUUGGGUUUAAAGGGAGCGUAGGUGGAUUGUUAAGUCAGGUGUGAAAGUUUGCGGCUCAACCGUAAAAUUGCAGUUGAAACUGGCAGUCUUGAGUACAGUAGAGGUGGGCGGAAUUCGUGGUGUAGCGGUGAAAUGCUUAGAUAUCACGAAGAACUCCGAUUGCGAAGGCAGUUCACUGGACUGCAACUGACACUGAGGCUCGAAAGUGUGGGUAUCAAACAGGAUUAGAUACCCGAGUAGUC